rnacentral:rRNA from 1 species
ACGGAAGGCAGCAGUGGGGAAUAUUGCACAAUGGGCGAAAGCCUGAUGCAGCGACGCCGCGUGAGUGAAGAAGUAUCUCGGUAUGUAAAGCUCUAUCAGCAGGGAAGAAAAUGACGGUACCUGACUAAGAAGCCCCGGCUAACUACGUGCCAGCAGCCGCGGUAAUACGUAGGGGGCAAGCGUUAUCCGGAUUUACUGGGUGUAAAGGGAGCGUAGACGGUUUGGCAAGUCUGAAGUGAAAUGCGGGGGCUCAACUCCUGAACUGCUUUGGAAACUGUCGAACUAGAGUGCAGGAGAGGUAAGUGGAAUUCCUAGUGUAGCGGUGAAAUGCGUAGAUAUUAGGAGGAACACCAGUGGCGAGGGCGGCUUACUGGACUGUAACUGACGUUGAGGCUCGAAAGCGUGGGGAGCAAACAGGAUUAGAUACCCUGGUA